rnacentral:pre_miRNA from 1 species
UUAGUACUCUCUUUGUUCUGAAUUACUUGUCGCACGUAUGAAUGUAUAUAAAUGUAUUUUAGUUCUAGAUAUAUCCAUUUCAGCGACAAGUAAUUUGGAACGGAGGAAGUACAAA